CAGGAUGUUGAAUGCUUACCGUGCCCAGGUGACAGCGGAUGGUGGGGGCUAUGCAGCCAUCUGUUAAAUUGUAGAGUGUGCAAAAAUUAUCCGGUAGUUCUGUGUAAGGAGAAAGCUUACUGUAGAAAAUCUCAUUGGGAAUUGAAACAUCUGGUUGAAAAUGCCGCCGUUACUCUCGCAGCAUCCUCUUCAUCAAUGGGCUGCAGCUCUAGAGAAGGACAUGGAAGCUGAAGAUGUUGCAGAUUCUAGCACAAACAUGGAUUCAGAUAGUUUAGAUGCUGAUGUUGAUGACCAUAUGAGUUAGUAUUCGUUUUAGGCAAAUCACCUGACUUGAUGUGUGGCAUAAAUGUUUGAAUGGAACCAAUCAUCCGAUAGUUUGGAACCCGUGGAAUAGUACGUUUUAGGCAAUUCACCUGACUUGAUCUGACAGGGGUAGUUUUAACAUAUGGAACAAAGAGUAUGAGACGCUUGAUGGACUUUUAGCUCACCUAUCAGUUAAAGCAUGUGAAAAGGUUUAUGAAGAAGCAAGCUUGUUUCCAGCUAUGUCAAAAGGUUUAUGAAGAAGCAAGCUUGUUUCCAGCUUUGCUUCAACUGGAAAUGCUUCUAAAAUCUGACAUAUGGCCUAAGAGUUUCACUAAGUCAGAGCCCUGUGAUGAUAACAUCAGAUUGUAUUCUUUUUCCAUUAGACACGAGAUGUGAAAAGGAGUUCGAGCUGUUGGUGGAGCACAUGAUCACCGAAGAACUUGCUCUACGAACAAUCAUAACAAAUUCUGAGCUUUUGGUUUUCGCGUCCACAGAACUGCCCAUGCUAUACUGGAGAUUUAAGGGUAAGUACUACCUCUGGGGUGUUUUCAGACCAAAGCGGGAUUCCAGUAGGAAUACUAUGAUGCCAAAUGGAAAGAGUGCGACCUAGUAUGCUGUUUUAACUGGUUGCUAAUGCAUAUCUGUCAGAGGGCUGCGAAUCUGGUGAUUAAGAUGAAGCAGCUUUCUUUUUAGAGCCAUCUUGCGGGGGAGUUUUGCUUGGUUGAAGAACCUAAUGACCACUGAAAGACACCUGAUUUAACAAAAGCCUUCUGUUUUAGCAGUUGAUUGGAGGACUAGUGAGCUUGAUAUAUGCAGGAGCAUGGUUUCACAUGGCCAUUUAUUUUGUAGUUACUCCUACUUUGAUUGUCAAAAGGUCUAAACUUGUGCAGUUGUACAUGACCAUUAUC